rnacentral:rRNA from 1 species
ACACCGGCGGCCCGAGUGGUGAUCGUGAUUAUUGGGUCUAAAGGGUCCGUAGCCGGUUUGGUCAGUCCUCCGGGAAAUCUGACGGCUCAACCGUUAGGCUUUCGGUGGAUCCUGCCAGACUUGGAACCGGGAGAGGUAAGAGGUACUACAGGGGUAGGAGUGAAAUCUUGUAAUCCCUGUGAGACCACCUGUGGCGAAGGCGUCUUACCAGAACGGGUUCGACGGUGAGGGACGAAAGCGGGGGGCACGAACAGGAUUAGAGACCCGGGUAGUCCCAGCCGUAAACGAGGCUCGCUAGGUGUCAGGCAGGGCGCGACCGUGUCUGGUGCCGCAGGGAAGCCGUGAAGCGAGCCACCUGGGAAGUACGGCCGCAAGGCUGAA